AAGGAGAUAUUGGAGCAACGGGACUAGCAAAUCUCAGCAGAAACUUACUGAGAGAGAAAAAAAGUUGAUUCGGACACUGUGUCAAAUAAAUCCUACAGUGUGGUUGGACUGAGAGAUCUGAAAUCCAUGACCUGAUCAGCUUUACUUCUGCUGGAUUAAUCCUGCACCAAACCAGGAGAGGGCGUGAGGACAAUUUUGACUAUAAGUGAAAACAAUUACGGAAAGUCUGAAUAUUAGCUGUCAAGGCAAAAGCAGAAGAAAAAGGAUACCAUGGGAUUGAGAAAGAGCUGACUUUUAUCCCUAUCUCUAAAAUAACAAUUUCCUCAGUAUAAGACAUAUUCUGUAAAUUGAUCUACUUGUAUACACAGCUCUUUCAAAUGUUUCUAUCCUUGGCAAACCAUUAAUUUACACGAAAUUCUUAAUGGCAUAUUAGAAUUAACAAUUUGAUACAUACAGGCAUAGAAGAUCAUGUCACAGAGAUGCCAGCAAGGGCCUGGGCUAUAUGUAGUUCUGUGUAGCUACGCUCAUGGUUGCUGUCCUCCUGCCAACUCAGCCCUGCCCGAAUACUCCAGUCAACCCUGACUCAGUGGCUUCCUCUCUCCUCCUCCCAUGCUGCCAAUGCACUCAUGUUAGUUGUCACACUGAAGCCGCUGCGUUUCUGAACUGAUUCCCUCAGCCCAGCCUCUCACAUAUCCCUGUUCUCAAAAUUGUGACCCAAAUCCGACUUCCCUGUGGGUUCUAAUUUAUAAGUCUGGGAUUUUUGCCUCGGUCCUCUUAGGAAUUUCUUUUCUGAUAAACUGAUAAGAAUGCCAGCUUUCUUCUGGGAGCUGGGACGUCUGGCUUAGUCCUGUUUGUGAGUUCACUUCUGCCAAGUCUGAGGCCUUCCUUGCUCUUUUCAAUUCCCAUCUCCAGCCAACCCAGGACAGACUCCUCAGACGUGGACUGCCUUGUGGACCACACUGCCCUCCUCCAUGAAGCAAGUCAUAUGACCCUCAUGUGAAAGUUUUCUCAUGUGGAAGGUGUCAGCCCUAUGCCCACAGGAAAGGAACAUCCUCAUCUCUGAACACAGAAGAAUUCGAACAAACAGGCUUUGCUAAGUUUCUCUCCAGUUUAUUACCAUUAGAUCAUUUCUCCCUUGUCCAAUCCUACUUUUCCACGAUUAUCUACUUCAUCAAACUGAGCAUAAAAACCAUAAGGUUACCCAUUUCUUCAGGCCUUCAUUCCUUACGAAGGUUUUCAUGUUAUGUAACACUUAUUAAAUACAUGUGUAAGCUUUUCUUCUGUCAAUCUGUCUUUGUCAAUCUGAUUAUCAGACUGAACCAGGGACUCUCAGAGAGUCAAGGAAAAUCUUUCCUCCUCUACAUUCUCUUUCCUUUAAAUCUUGUUUUUUAUGAAUGACUCUAAAUCAACGAGCUCAUGUGGUAAGGUAUAAGCAUCAACUAAAUUCAGGGUGGUUAAUGGGAACACAUCACCCAGUCAAAAUUGCAGAUUACAAGUCUAUGAAUCAGGAUGGUUUUCUUUAUUUUCAGGGCAUAAGAAUAGAAGAGAGCAUUCUAUAGUGUUCUUUAGAUACCAUAAGAAAAUUAUUGAGGCAGACCAGAAGUCUUGUGUUGGGAGCCAGCCUUGGAGGCCCACCUGAUUGAAGGGUCCUGGUGGGCCGA